GCGCUCGUAGCUCAGUAGGAUAGAGCACCGGUUUCCUAAACCGGGGGUCGCAGGUUCGACUCCUGCCGGGCGCA
rnacentral:tRNA from 1 species